GAUGAAGAACGCAGCGAAAUGCGAUAAGUAGUGUGAAUUGCAGAAUUCAGUGAAUCAUCGAAUGUUUGAACGCACAUUGCGCCCCUUGGUAUUCCAUGGGGCAUGCCUGUUCGAGCGUCAUUUGUACCUUCAAGCUCUGCUUGGUGUUGGGUGUUUGUCUCGCCUCUGCGUGUAGACUCGCCUCAAAACAAUUGGCAGCCGGCGUAUUGAUUUCGGAGCGCAGUACAUCUCGCGCUUUGCACUCAUAACGACGACGUCCAAAAGUACAUUUUUACACUCUUGACCUCGGAUCAGGUAGGGAUACCCGCUGAACUUAAGCAUAUCAAUAAGCGGAGGA
rnacentral:misc_RNA from 1 species